CCUAUGGGUGGCAGCAGUGGGGAAUUUUGCGCAAUGCUCGUAAGAGUGACGCAGCGACGCCGCGUGAAUGACGACGGCCUUCGGGUCGUAAAGUUCUUUCGACAGGGAAGAAAAUGCCUAUAAGUAACUGUGUAUGUAUUUACGGUACCUGUAUAAGCAGCCCCGGCUAACUCCGUGCCAGCAGCCGCGGUAAUACGGGGGGGGGGAGGGUUGUUCGGUGGGACUGGGCGAAAAGAGCACGUCGGGGGUGUUGUAAGUCAUUAGUAAAGGACUAGAGCUCAACUUUAGUAAGGCUAGUGAUACUAUAAUACUAGAGUAUCAGAGAGGAUUGCAGAAUUCCUGGUGUAGCGGUGAAAUGCGUAGAUAUCAGGAGGAAUACCGUUAGCGAAGGCGGCAAUCUGGCUGGAAACUGACGCUGAGGUGCGAAAGCGUGGGUAGCAAACAGGAUUAGAUACCCCUUAGUC
rnacentral:rRNA from 1 species